AGGCCGGUAGCUCAGCCUGGUAGAGCACCUGACUUUUAAUCAGGGGGUCGCGGGUUCAAACCCCGUCCGGCCUA
rnacentral:tRNA from 1 species